GAUAUCUAUAGUUUAACGGUAGAACGCUGAUUGUUCAGUAGUGUAGGUUCGAAUCCUACUAGAUAACA
rnacentral:tRNA from 1 species